rnacentral:rRNA from 1 species
GCGGAGGAAAAGAAAAUAACAAUGAUUUCCCUAGUAACGGCGAGUGAAGAGGAAAGAGCUCAAAGUUGGAACCUGUUUGGCUUAGCUAAACCGGAUUGUAAACUGUAGAAGUGUUUUCCAGACACGCCUGGUAAAAAAGUCCUUUGGAACAGGGCAUCAUAGAGGGUGAGAAUCCCGUCUUUGGCCAGAGCUGUUGUCUUUUGUGAUACAUUUUCAAAGAGUCAGGUUGUUUGGGAAUGCAGCCUAAAUUGGGUGGUAAAUCUCACCUAAAGCUAAAUAUUUGCGAGAGACCGAUAGCGAACAAGUACCGUGAGGGAAAGAUGAAAAGAACUUUGAAAAGAGAGUUAAACAGUAUGUGAAAUUGUUAAAAGGGAACCGUUUGGAGCCAGACUGGCUUGAUCGUAAUCAAUCUAGGCUUCGGCCUGGAUGCACUUGCGGUCUAUGCCUGCCAACGACAGUUUUAUUUGGGGGAAAAAAUUAUUAGGAAUGUGGCCCUUCGGGGUGUUAUAGCCUUUUAAAAAAUACCCUGGAUUGGACUGAGGAACGCAGUGAAUGCCUUUAGGCAAGAUUGCUGGGCGCUUUCGUUAAUACAUGCUAGAAUUUCUGCUUUGGGUGGUGCUAGUGUGUAGCGAUGGAACUCGCUUGGUAUAUUUUUUAUUCGCUUAGGUUGUUGGCUUAAUGACUCUAAUGAC